rnacentral:rRNA from 1 species
AUUGAACGCUGGCGGCAUGCCUUACACAUGCAAGUCGAACGGCAGCGCGGGAGCAAUCUUGGCGGCGAGUGGCGAACGGGUGAGUAAUACAUCGGAACGUGCCCAAUCGUGGGGGAUAACGCAGCGAAAGCUGUGCUAAUACCGCAUACGAUCUACGGAUGAAAGCAGGGGAUCGCAAGACCUUGCGCGAAUGGAGCGGCCGAUGGCAGAUUAGGUAGUUGGUGAGGUAAAGGCUCACCAAGCCUUCGAUCUGUAGCUGGUCUGAGAGGACGACCAGCCACACUGGGACUGAGACACGGCCCAGACUCCUACGGGAGGCAGCAGUGGGGAAUUUUGGACAAUGGGCGAAAGCCUGAUCCAGCCAUGCCGCGUGCAGGAUGAAGGCCUUCGGGUUGUAAACUGCUUUUGUACGGAACGAAACGGUCUUUUCUAAUAAAGAAGGCUAAUGACGGUACCGUAAGAAUAAGCACCGGCUAACUACGUG